GUGGGGAAUAUUGGACAAUGGGCGCAAGCCUGAUCCAGCAACGCCGCGUGAGGGAUGACGGCCUUCGGGUUGUAAACCUCUUUCAGCAGGGACGAAGCGAAAGUGACGGUACCUGCAGAAGAAGGACCGGCCAACUACGUGCCAGCAGCCGCGGUAAUAUGUAGGGUCCGAGCGUUGUCCGGAAUUAUUGGGCGUAAAGGGCUCGUAGGCGGUCUGUCGCGUCGGGAGUGAAAACUCAGGGCUCAACCCUGAGCGUGCUUCCGAUACGGGCAGACUAGAGGUAUGCAGGGGAGAACGGAAUUCCUGGUGUAGCGGUGGAAUGCGCAGAUAUCAGGAGGAACACCGGUGGCGAAGGCGGUUCUUUGGGCAUUACCUGACGCUGAGGAGCGAAAGCAUGGGGAGCGAACAGGAUUAGAAACCCGUGUAGUCC
rnacentral:rRNA from 1 species